GCCCGGCUAGCUCAGUUGGUAGCGCGUGGGAAUCUUGAUCUCAGGAUUGUGGGUUUGAGGACCAUGCUGGGUG